GAAGCGAAUUUUUAAAUCGAAAUAAUAUGGACUUAAAAUUAUCUGUCGAAUAUUAAAGGUUGUAUUUAAAAACAAGUUCAAUUUUUUAAAUGAAAUUUAAAAGGUGAAUUUAGAUUUUUUAAUUUUUAGACAGUGAAACCGAGUGUGAAAUGUUUCAAUUUGAAAUAUUCACAGCUUAAAUGUACAACCAUAUUGAAUUGCAGAACCUUAAAAUGCAAGAACUGUUAAUACAAUGCAUUUUUUUUCAGUUAGUGCUUUUCAGCACGUCUCUUUGCUUCAAAAACAUUAGUCACUAUUUUACUUCCAUACUGUGGUGGACGUUCGGCGGCGGCACCAGACUGGAAGUUGGCAGUGUAACUCGUCCUACAGUUAAGGUCCUGCCGGCGUCAAGUGAAGAGAUUUCCAGUAAGCAGACAGCAACACUGAUGUGUGUGGUCAGCAAGGGCUUCCCUUCAGACUGGAGCUUGAGCUGGAAGGUGGAUGGGAACAUCAGGUCUCAGGAGAACAGCGCUGGACUCCUGCAGAAGGACGGUCUGUACAGCUGGAGCAGCAGUCUGACUCUCUCUGAACACGACUGGAUCAAGAGCGUCUCAGUGAGCUGUGAGGCCACACGAGGAGACCAGACAGUCACUGGACAAGUGAAGAGAGAUCAGUGUUCUCAAUAGAUCCUCUGUCUUCUGCUCUCUUCUUAUCAUUCAUGUCUCACAAAAGUGGCUUUCUAUUCAUCUGUGCUUCAUUCAUUCAGUGCUGAG